rnacentral:rRNA from 1 species
UUAAUAAUACGUAGAUACAUACCGUUAACACAAGUAUAACCUAUUGAAAGAUAGGCUAAUCCUUGAUAGCCCGGGUACUCAGUUUGAUGAGCGCUCGGUAAAGGUUUUGAAUAAUCAAUUCCGGUUGACGAUUGGUCUGCGGUCUAUCAGCUUGUUGGUGAGGUAAUGGCUCACCAAGGCAAUGACGGAUAGGCGGUGUGAGAGCAUGACCGCCAACAGGGGCAUUGCGAUACGGGCCCCACUCCUACGGGAGGCAGCAGCCGAGAAUAUUGGUCAAUGGGCGAAAGCCUGAACCAGCGACGCCGCGUGCUUGAAGAAACCCUUCGGGGUGUAAAGAGCUUUUCUGGAGGAAGAAUAUUUAUAUGACUGUACUCCAGGAAUAAGGGGGUGCUAACUCUGUGCCAGCAGCAGCGGUAAUACAGAGCCCCCAAGCGUUAUCCGGAUUUAUUGGGCGUAAAGAGUCUGUAGGUGGCCAGGAAAGUCUUUGGUUAAAUACCCAGAGCUUAACUUUGGGAAUGCCUAAGAUACUUCUUGGAUAGAGGACGUUAGGGGCUGGCGGAAUGGUCGGUGUAGGGGUGAAAUCCGUUGAUAUCGAUUGGAACCCUAAAAGCGAAGGCAGCCAGCUGGGGCGAUCCUGACACUGAGAGACGAAAGCGUGGGGAGCAAAAAAGAUUAGAUACCUU